rfam:Triticum aestivum genome assembly, contig: Triticum_aestivum_CS42_TGACv1_scaffold_582461_7BL
UUGCACAAUGCUAACCCCGGGUUUGUCGGAUAGACUUCAGUCCCUUGUGAUGAACGAAAGCCCUAAGGCUGUGCUAGAUGUACACAGCCGUUCAAUGUUGCGAGUGUGACACUACGCGUGGAUGAGUGGCCUGUGUCAAAGUAAUGGAUACAAUC